AUCAAUGCACUUAGAACUUACGUACCAAGAAAAAUCACUGGGAAUAGUGAUAGCACUUAGAGAGGUAUAGAGUCAAAUACCCUAGAGAUGAAGGUACAAAUACCCCUCCUGAAACACAUUUACCAUCUAAACAAUCAGAACCAAAGAUCUCUUUAUUGGAGUCAAUCUUGUGAAACAAACUGAUAUGCAAAUAAUACAACAGAGAGACUCUAUCCUGCCAUAAUCAUUUACUGAAUUUUUACCAUUGCAUGGCCGAGCAGCAAGUGUUAUGUGAUGAUAAUGUGUUACCAAGAAAUGAAAUUGCUCCGAUUUGAAUAAUAAAAGCUUUUAUAGGGCUAAAAGUUGGAUAAAGUUAACCUUCUAUAUACCAAUUGGAAAUGCCUGAAAUAUCUGUCAUACAAUACAAAUCUUCUCAUACUAUUUGCAAAACAUGCCAAAUGCUUCUUUCUUUUUCUUCUCUUUUUUUAAAUACAAAUAUUCAACAAAUCCAUGAUAAAUUUUAGCAGAAAUAAAUAAAUGAUAGAAGAAUUGGCAAAUUGAAUGUAAAUUCAACUAAGUGUGUAAUAAAUAUCUACUGUCUUAUCGAAACCCUGGCAUAAAUCACUGCACACACACAACUGUUGGACAACUUGAUCAUUUCCAUUUCACAAGCAGCAGAAUUUCAUGGUUGUGAGCCAGCUAGCAGCAGUCAGAAGGUAAAGCUAGGCCAUAAAUCUCUGUGAUUGGGUCUAUAGAGGAAAAAAGGCUCCUGUCUGCAAAAGCAAAUGGCAGCCAGACUAGCAGACCUGGAGGAGAAUGAUGGACAUAUCUUUUACAGCAAGAACUUGACUGCCGCCUGUUCUUGAUUACCUAGGCGAUAAAUACAGGUGCAGAUACAGAACAACAUGAAAGAUUUAUAAGUAGAUUGGUAGAUACCCUAUCCCCGGCACACCUCACCCAGUCAUUAGGGUUGACGGUUUUGAUGGAAAAGACUUUUAUUUACAAGAGUUUGUAACUUUUACUUCCUGCAAAAUCUGGGAUUUUUUUCUCCUUGUAAAUCAGAAAACAUGAAGAAGAAUGUUGAUUCUGUAAUGUAAGUCUUGGGUUAGAGGACAAUAUCGACAGAAAUCUGUUAUCAUUAAAUGAUAAGCCAAGCAAUAGACCUUUGCAUUGUUAGAUACAAAAUGCAUGUGCUGUUAUUUUUUUUUUCUAUUUCUGUUCCGAAAUGAAUCACUACCUAUAUCAAGAAAGAUCAAUUCAGACAUCUCAGAUUGCUGAAUAUGUAUUUCUUCCUAUCAAUCCAGUAGUUUGUCCUUUAGUUCCCUCAUGGAAGCAACCCAGACAUCCAUGAACAAGAUGGUCAUAUGGGGAAAUUGAGGACUUACUGGGUGAUGAUUAGACUUGAUGUUCAAUCAAAUUAUUCCCUCAAGAAUGUAAUGUUCUAACAGCUGCAAAUUCACUUUUAAAGCUAGUGUUCAUGGAAUUGAAGACCAAAUCACUCAUCUUCAGAAAACUAGGGCUUGUCUUGUAGCUUAUUGCUUUUAUGUGCGAGAUUAUGUAGUCAAUUUAGGGCUUAGUUUGGCUUAUGACAUUCUUGCCCUCCAAACAUAACUAAUCAAUGUGCAUGUCUGUGGAAAUUCUUGUCAGCUGACCUCCUAAUAAUCCCCUUUUACCAGUCAACUCCAAUUAGGACUUCAUCAAAUAACACUUUUGCUAUCUCACAGAGUGCAUGAGAUACACUACUGGGUUUCAAAUACAAUACUGAGAAGAAGGUGGCAAAUCACUAGGCAGUUUGGGACAGUUUUGUUCAAAUUGGGUGAUGAUUAGACAAAAACAUCCAUCUGCAAGCAGAUGUGCUGCCACAAUAGUGAACAAUUGCAGUGGCCCCAUUGGUGAAGACAUGCCAAAGCCCCUCACCUCAAUUAGAACAUGCUACAAUGAAGAAAAUCAAUAGGUUUAAAGGUCAUGACCAAUUGGAGAUAAUUUUGUAGAUUGUUGGUUCCCAUUUCACUAAUUACAAGUAAAACUUCGAGGUAUUUGGAACAAAAUUUUCCGAUGAAACUUCUGCUCCAUCUUGUUCAAUACAUGUAUUGAUUUUCUCAAUGUCUGUAGGGAAGGGAAACAGAGCCCAAUAUCAUUGGUGAAAGGAAGUAUCAUUAUCAAUUAGAGGUGAUACACUUAUCAGAUCAAACAAGGGUCAUACUUGUCUACUUCAGUCUAAGCCUCAAUAAACGAUUGACAAAAAAUUCACCCUAAUGGACAUUAGAUGACAUGUUUUAAGAGUUGAGGUAACAUCCCAUUGAGGUACACACAGAAUAACCUGCUGAUCCCGAUCUUCCCUGCAUUAUUAUUGAUAAGUCAGGAAGACCCCUGCAUUGGAGAACACACACAGAGUUAAAUUGUGGGAGAUGGAAGCGAGGAAACAUUACCCUUGGGCCUAAUGGAUUUUCUGCCUGCUAAUCAAAAAUCAAUGCUACAAAAAUUCACUGUUUUCCCAUUUCUAACUUAUAUAAUCUUUUAAUAUAGAAUUACACUUCCACAAACAGUAAUUUUGGGAUGUUCUGUCACCAUAUAAAGCAUUUAUAAAGAGAAAACCCAAUUUAUCUGCAAAAUCAAUAUAUUUGUUAAAACAAAGAAAAAUGAGUAUAAAUUUAAUCUCCUUAAAUAUGCAGCUGAAAUAAAGUCAUUAUCUAUUUUCGUUCUUUGAGGAAAGUUUUACUUAAAAUCUGAUUAAAUCUUUAUAGAUUUAUCAUAAUUUCAGACAUAUCAAUGAGGAUUUUUUAGAUGUAAAAGAUAUCCUCAAUAAGGGUUGUUUUGAUUUGCAUUUCCUAAUUAUUAAGCUACUGAUUGUUUUUCAAUCAUAAUCUAAUAAAAACAUAUUUAACAAAUUUAAUGGAUUAAUUUCAUGAUCUUUAAAGGAAAUUUAUCAACUUUUUCAUCGAAACUUCUACAGAUGAAACCAUCUGACAGUUGUAUGUCUUAUUGUAGUGGUAUUUUCUAGUUUGGUGAUAUAUAUGUUAUGAAAAGUAUUCAUGUGUACUUGUGUGUGUGUUUGUGUGUGUUAAGCUGACAGUGCAUUUGCUAUCAUUUAAGUACCAGAGAAAUCAUGUUGGUUUCCUCUUUAAAUAGAACAUGCUUGUAAAAAACACAAGUAUUUAUCAGCCCAUUCAAGUACCAGAACAGUUUUAGUAAUAGAUUUCCUGCCUAACACAUAGAUAACUGCUCUAUCCAAUUCUCCAACUCUAUUUAAUAAGAUAAACAAAUUAAUACAAAUAGAAUUAAGCAAACCUAUGUUAUUUUUCUAUUUUGAUGGGUAUUUGUCUUUGUUUUAAUGAAGUCAAGCUCUGCGUGCAUUUUAUGACUGCACUUAGGGAAAUAGAGAGGCACUUCAUUCAGGUAUACAUAUCGUCAGCUUGGGUAAGUGCAGGGAUUCACAAGUUCUCUACCAGACACUUGUACAUCCACUGUAGCAGUGUAAACUAAUUAUCAUGUAGUACUUCUUCAACACUUGUAGCUUGAUUAUGUCCUUCACAAAUUUCCCCUCCCAGUUUCUAGGUUCAAAUCCUGUUCAUACUAGAAUUACAACCAGUUUAUAGUUCAGGCAUCACCCUGGCAGAGUGACAUUCCAGUGCGUACAAUGACAAUAAAGCCAGUCAACUUGUGAGCUGUCUCCCACAAGAUUUGAGCCCCUAUUGGAAAUCAU